GUUUAGUCUGAACUUAGCAUCAGCUGCUCAGGUUCCUUUCUUCUCAGCAUGCCGUGGCUGGCCUCAUCCUGUAGUCUUUCAAACCUAAUUAGUGUUAGGGCCUUUCCUCGCUGGCUCCCUCCCAUCCCCAGCAGCCCUUCAUUCUUCUCACUGCCUCCUUUCCUUCUCACUGUUCAGAGCGCCCUGUGCAUGCAAAUCAAGGAACUGACUUGAGAUGACUUUCAGAGCUCUGUCUCUUGUGUUUCUUUGGCCUGGAAGAAACAACGCCUAAGUUUUGAGCUGUAAGUUGUUUUUCCUCCAGGAAAAUAUACAUCAACCUCAUUGAAGUUUAACCUUCCUUAACUCCUUUAUGGUUUGAAGGCAUGAAGCUGCCUGACAUCUAAGGAUCUCUGAAGAGAACUGGGACCUGAAACCCAUCUGAAAUGUAUCUGCAGACAGGUCAAGUUCAUCGAGAGUCACCUCCUGCCUGACACUCCAGUCAUUAAUUCCAGUGUGAAGAACAUGAUGAAGGUCCGUCCUAAGGAUGUCUUGGCUACCACAUCUCCAAAUCCAACGGUUGACGUUGUUGCCAUGACCAGAUCUCCAGAUCAGCCUGAAGAUCAACAGGAUGAUGAGUCCACUGAAGAAGGUCACAAA
rnacentral:lncRNA from 1 species